GGAACAGAUGGGAUCUGCGGGAUCCUGGUCCAGCUUGGGGUAGGGUGGGGAGGGGAGGUUCUCUGAGGAAGGAAGGCCUUCUCUGAGGAUUUUAGUGUUGCAGCUCUUGUAGGUGAUACUCAAUGAAACAGCUCUCUUAGAGAAUCUUCAGUAAAAUAGCUGCUGUGCAUACACUGUAUACAAGGGCUACAUAUGAACCUUGGAGAGUGGAGAUUUCUGGGUGAAUAUAAAAGGCGAUGGCUGAAGCUUAAGUCCUGUGAAUGCCUCAUUUGUCUGGAGAUGCGUUCCGAGAAUCUCAGGUUCAUCCUUGUCGUAGCAUCCUUCCUUAAUGGAUGAGUGACCUUCUGCUGUGUGGAUCACCUCAUUGUGCCUGUCCAUUCAUCUGCUGAUAGACACUGGGUUAUUCUCACCUUUGACUUGAAUCUUGCUGCUGUGAACACUGAUGUACAAGCAGAUAUCCCAGUCCCUGCUUUCAGCUUGAGUAAACUCCUCCAGAUUUGAAUUUGCCCUUUGAAUCCUUGGUGGCAUAUGGUGGAAUUGUGGCUAGCAGACAGUCUCUCACUAAACCUGGAGCUUGUGGAUUUUGCUAGACUGACUGACAAUCAAGCCCCUGUGUCCUUCUGCCUCUGCCUCCCCAGAGCUGAGGUUACAGGUGCAAGCCAUGAUGCCAGACUCUGUAAGUGACUGCUGAAGUUCAACUCAGAUCUUCAUGUUUGACUGUCAUCUCCCAGGCUACACUCCUUGAACUAAGUCAGGCUACAGAGGCUGCAUUUCCUAGAGACAUCUGGUCAACCUCACAUCCAUGGAGUAGAGAGCAGAGAACACUCCUUAGAGAAAAGGGACCUGAGUUCAAGUGGGUUCCAGUCUGAAUCCCAGACUGAACAGCUUUCGUAUUUUUCAAUUAGUCUGGAGCUUUUCAUACCUGUAAAUUCUGCUUCUGGAAUAGUCUUCCACCUAGUACGUCAGCUUUUCCCAAGGAGAGUGCCUUCCCCACCUGCAUACUUCCUUUUCUGAGAAGUGUCUAAUUUCUAUGUUGCAACAAAUAUGUACUCAGUGAUAAGUGGAUAUUAGCCCAGAAACUUAGGAUACCCAAGAUAUAAGAUACAACUUGCCAAACGCAUGAAAUUCAAGAAGAACGAAGACCAAAGUGUGGACACUUUACCCUUUCUUAGAAAUGGGAACAAAACACCCAUGGAAGGAGUUACAGACACAAAAUUUCAAGCUGUGAAGAAAGGAUGGACCAUCUAGUGAUUGCCAUAUGCAGGGAUCCAUCCCAUAAUCAGCUUCCAAAUGCUGACACCAUUGCAUACACUAGCAAGAUUUCGCUGAAAGGACCCAGAUAUAGCUCUCUCUUGUGAGACUAUGCUGGGGCCUAGCAAACACAGAAGUGGAUGCUCACAGUCAGCUAUUGGAUGGGUCACACGGCCCCCAAUGGAGGAGCUAGAGAAAUUACCCAAGGAGCUAAAGGGAACUGCAACCCUAUAGGUGGAACAACAAUAUGAACUUACCAGUACCCGGGAGCUCUUGUCUUUAGCUGCAUAUGUAUCAAAAGAUGGCCUAGUCGGCCAUCACUGCAAAGAGAGGCCCAUUGGACUUGCAAACUUUAUAUGCCCCAGUACAGGGGAAUGCCAGGGCCAAAAAGGGGGAGU
rnacentral:lncRNA from 1 species